GAGAUUCGCAAUGCCCGAAAGGGUGACGAAGCGACGCCGCGUGCGGGAAGAAGGCCUUCGGGUUGUAAACCGCUGUCGGGAGUUAAGAAAUGUAAGGAUGUUAAUAGCAUCUUUGCUUGACUAAGGCUCCGGAGGAAGCCACGGCUAACUCUGUGCCAGCAGCCGCGGUAAUACAGAGGCGGCAAGCGUUGUUCGGAAUUAUUGGGCGUAAAGAGCACGUAGGCGGCUAUGUAAGUCGGUUGUGAAAGCCUUCCGCUCAACGGGAGAACAGCAUCCGAUACUGCAUGGCUUGAGUGCGGGAGGGGAGAGUGGAACUUCUGGUGGAGCGGUGAAAUGCGUAGAUAUCAGAAGGAACGCCGGCGGCGAAAGCGGCUCUCUGGCCCAUAACUGACGCUGAGUGUGCGAAAGCUAGGGGAGCAAACGGGAUUAGAUACCCCGGUAGUCCUAGCCGUAAACGAUGGGCACUAAGUAGAGGGGUUUUA
rnacentral:rRNA from 1 species